AAAUUUUAUAAUUUAAAAAAUUUAUUGUAAGUUUAUUUUAUAUAUAUAUAUUAGUGUAAAAUUUUAAUUAUUUUAAUAAUAAUUAUAUUGAAAUUUAUAGUAAUUAAUAUUAAAAAUUUAAGAAAUUAAGAUUUAGUAAUAUUAAAAUAAAUAACUAAUUUUGUGCCAGCAGUUGCGGUUAUACAAAAAUUUAAAAUAAAUUAUAUUAGUAAAAUUAAUUAAAAUAAAAGUUAAUUAAAGUAAAAGUUAAAUUAUUAAGUGAAAUUAUAAUUUAAUUAAAUUUUAAUUUUUUUUUUGAAUUAAUAAAUUUUGAUUAUAAACUAGGAUUAGAUACCCUAUUAUUAAAAAUUUAAAUUUUAAUACUAAAGUAGUAAAUAAUUAUUUAUUGAAAUUUAAAUAAUUUGGCGGUAUUUUAGUUCAUUUAGAGGAAUCUGUUUAAUAAUUGAUAAUCCACGAAUAAAUUUACUUAAUUUAAAAUUUUAUAUAUCGUUGUUAAAAAAAUAUUUUUUAAUAAUAAAAUAAUAUUUAAAAAUUUAUAAUAGAAUUUAAAUCAGAUCAAGAUGUAGAUAAUAAUUAAGAAUAUAAUGGAUUACAAUAAAUAAAUUUAAAUGAAUAUUAAUUUGUAAAAAUUAAUUAAAAGUGGAUUUAAAUGUAAUUUUAUUUAAUUUAAUUGAAUGAUUAAAAAUUAAAAUAUGUACAUAUUGCCCGUCGCUUUCAUUUAUUUAAAUUGAAAUAAGUCGUAACAAAGUAGAGGUACUGGAAAGUGUUUCUAGAAAGAAU
rnacentral:ncRNA from 1 species